rnacentral:rRNA from 1 species
UACAGAGACCUCAAGCGUUAUCCGGAAUCAUUGGUCGUAAAGCGUACCGAUAGGUGGCUUUGCAAGUCAGAAGUGAAAUCUCAAGGCUCAACUUUGAGACUGUCUUUUGAAACUGCAAAGCUUGAGGGGCAAAGAGGAAGCCGGAACGAACGGUGUAGUAGUGAAAUGCGUUGAUAUCGUUCGGAACACCAAUAGCGUAGGCAGGCUUCUGGGUGCCACCUGACACUGCUAGGACGAAAGCGUGGGGAGCGAAUGGG